CCUACGGGUGGCAGCAGUGGGGAAUAUUGGACAAUGGGGGCAACCCUGAUCCAGCCAUGCCGCGUGUGUGAAGAAGGCCCUCGGGUUGUAAAGCACUUUCAGUGAGGAAGAACGCCUGGUGGUUAAUACCCAUCAGGAAAGACAUCACUCACAGAAGAAGCACCGGCUAACUCCGUGCCAGCAGCCGCGGUAAUACGGAGGGUGCGAGCGUUAAUCGGAAUUACUGGGCGUAAAGCGCGCGUAGGUGGCUUGAUAAGCCGGUUGUGAAAGCCCCGGGCUCAACCUGGGAACGGCAUCCGGAACUGUCAAGCUAGAGUGCAGGAGAGGAAGGUAGAAUUCCCGGUGUAGCGGUGAAAUGCGUAGAGAUCGGGAGGAAUACCAGUGGCGAAGGCGGCCUUCUGGACUGACACUGACACUGAGGUGCGAAAGUGUGGGUAGCAAACAGGAUUAGAUACCCCAGUAGUC
rnacentral:rRNA from 1 species